GAUGAACGCUGGCGGCGUGCCUAAUACAUGCAAGUCGAGCGAACAGACGAGGAGCUUGCUCCUCUGACGUUAGCGGCGGACGGGUGAGUAACACGUGGAUAACCUACCUAUAAGACUGGGAUAACUUCGGGAAACCGGAGCUAAUACCGGAUAAUAUCUUGAACCGCAUGGUUCAUUAGUGAAAGACGGUUUUGCUGUCACGUAUAGAUGGAUCCGCGCCGCAUUAGCUAGUUGGUAAGGUAAAGGCUUACCAAGGCAACGAUGCGUAGCCGAACUGAGGGGGGGAUCGGCCACACUGGAGCGGGAACAGGGACCAUACGCCUGCGAGACGCAGCAGUAGGGAAUCUGCCGCAAUAGGCGAAAGCCUGACGGAGCAACGCCGCGUGAGAGACGAAGAUCCUCGGAUCGUAAAACCCUGUUAUUAGGUAAGAACAGAUGUGUAAUGAAAUGUGCAGUUCUUGACGGUACCUAAUCAGAAAGCCACGGCUAACUACGUG
rnacentral:rRNA from 1 species